GCCUGGGUGGCUCAGUGGGUUAAGCUUCUGACUUCAACUCAGGUCAUGAUCUCGUGGUUCGUGGGUUCGAGCCCCACAUCGGGCU
rnacentral:tRNA from 1 species